GACGAACGCUGGCGGCGUGCUUAACACAUGCAAGUCGAACGGAAAGGCCCUGCUUUUGUGGGGUGCUCGAGUGGCGAACGGGUGAGUAACACGUGAGUAACCUGCCCUUGACUUUGGGAUAACUUCAGGAAACUGGGGCUAAUACCGGAUAGGAGCUCCUGCUGCAUGGUGGGGGUUGGAAAGUCUCGGCGGUUGGGGAUGGACUCGCGGCUUAUCAGCUUGUUGGUGGGGUAGUGGCUUACCAAGGCUUUGACGGGUAGCCGGCCUGAGAGGGUGACCGGCCACAUUGGGACUGAGAUACGGCCCAGACUCCUACGGGAGGGAGAGGUGGGGAAUGUAGCACAAUGGGCGGAAGGCUGAUGCAGCCACGCCGCGUGCGGGAUGACGGGCUUCGGGUUGUAAACCGCUGUCGUCUGUGACGAAGCGUGAGUGACGGUAAUGGGUAAAGAAGCACCGGCUAACUACGUG
rnacentral:rRNA from 1 species